CCUACGGUGAGCAGCAGUGAGGAAUAUUGGUCAAUGGGCGCGAGCCUGAACCAGCCAAGUAGCGUGAGGGAAGACUGCCCUAUGGGUUGUAAACCUCUUUUGUCAGGGAGCAACGCCGGCUACGUGUAGCCGGACUGAGAGUACCUGAAGAAAAAGCAUCGGCUAACUCCGUGCCAGCAGCCGCGGUAAUACGGAGGAUGCGAGCGUUAUCCGGAUUUAUUGGGUUUAAAGGGUGCGUAGGCGGAAUGCCAAGUCAGCGGUAAAAUCGCGGGGCUCAACCUCGCUCCGCCGUUGAAACUGGCAGUCUUGAGUACAGUUGAGGUAGGCGGAAUUCGUGGUGUAGCGGUGAAAUGCUUAGAUAUCACGAAGAACCCCGAUUGCGAAGGCAGCUUACUAAACUGUGACUGACAUUGAUGCUCGAAAGUGUGGGUAUCAAACAGGAUUAGAUACCCGUGUAGUC
rnacentral:rRNA from 1 species